rnacentral:lncRNA from 1 species
GAGUUCCAGAACAGUCUCAACUACAUAGUGAGACCCUGUCUCAAAAACAAACAAGCAAAAAGAAAUGGUGAUGUUGUAUCAUGGAUAUGUAGAAGUUCAUUAUGUUAUUCUCUCUCCUUUUAUUUAUGUUUGGCUUUUUCCAUGAUGCAAUGUUAAAAUAAUAAUAAUAGUUUUCCCCCAUUCUACCACCUCCAAAGACUCCACUGGAAGUUAUUCCAGCACCACGCAUGGUGGUGCACGCCUGUAAUCCCACACUUGGGAGGGCGAAGGAGGAGGACUGCAAGUCUAAGGCCAGCCGUGGCUACACAGUGAGUUCACUGCUUUCUGCAAAGCAGCCGCCAUCUGAUCAGAUGCACACUUGAGGAUCUGAGGAAUCCUUACUGUAGGACUCCACCCACUCCUUAACCCAGCAUGGACUACACAGCAAGACCUAGGCAAAGAAAAAACAUGAUUCUGAGGGAUCUCUUGGGGGUCUUAGGAAACAUGUUCUUCUAAUUGACGCACGGCAUCUAACUGUACCGAAGGCACUGCUUGGAUGGUUGUAGCUGGCUUUAUGGGACUGGGCUGAGUCCUUCACUGAGGUUUCCCCAAAUCUCAAGUGUGAGGUUGCUCAAAGGGCAGCAGCACCGCAGAAAGCCAUGUCCACCCCGCCUGAGUCCUUAGUAGCCCCCUCCUGUCCUACAGAUGCUGCCAGUGGGAGCAGCAGCCAUGGAGGGAAGACAGCCGCAUCCAUCUUCACCCCGGCCCGCCCAGGGAGCUACUCCUUGUCACCACGACCUAGUUAUGCGGCUGUAGACCAAGCUGCCAUCUUCACUUGCGGACCACCAAAGAAAAGACACCGGGGAUGGUAUCCUGGGUCACCUGUCCCCCAACCUGGUUUAGUUGUACCUGUUCCUACAAUUCGCCCCCUUUCAAGAACUGAGCCCCUUUUAUCUGCCCCAGUUCCACAGACCCCAUUAACUGGAAUUUUACAACCUCGGCCCAUUCCUGCAGGGGAAACUGUAAUGGUUCCUGAAAACCUGCUGAGUAACUCAGGAGUUAGACCAGUAAUUUUGAUCGGUAAGGCAAGGGAACACCAAGGUGCCUGUGUUCUCUGGAAUCUGGGAAUGUUUCUCCACGUCAUUGUGGCUUUCCUCACACAUUCAUGCAUGUAUUCGUUUGAUUCCUCGAGCUUUUAUCAGU